rnacentral:hammerhead_ribozyme from 1 species
AUUCAGUUGACGAGUCCCAAAGAGAAUGAGAUGCGUGUCCUGAAU